AUUGAACGCUGGCGGCAGGCUUAACACAUGCAAGUCGAGCGGAGAUGAGGUGCUUGCACCUUAUCUUAGCGGCGGACGGGUGAGUAAUGCUUAGGAAUCUGCCUAUUAGUGGGGGACAACAUUCCGAAAGGAAUGCUAAUACCGCAUACGCCCUACGGGGGAAAGCAGGGGAUCUUCGGACCUUGCGCUAAUAGAUGAGCCUAAGUCGGAUUAGCUAGUUGGUGGGGUAAAGGCCUACCAAGGCGACGAUCUGUAGCGGGGCUGAGAGGAUGAUCCGCCACACUGGGACUGAGACACGGCCCAGACUCCUACGGGAGGCAGCAGUGGGGAAUAUUGGACAAUGGGCGGAAGCCUGAUCCAGCCAUGCCGCGUGUGCGAAGAAGGCCUUUUGGUUGUAAAGCACUUUAAGCGAGGAGGAGGCUACCUGGAUUAAUACUCUAGGAUAGUGGACGUUACUCGCAGAAUAAGCACCGGCUAACUCUGUGCCAGCCGCCGCAGUAAGAC
rnacentral:rRNA from 1 species